rnacentral:rRNA from 1 species
GAAGGUGGCAAGCGUUGUUCGGAUUCACUGGGCGUACAGGGAGCGUAGGCGGUUGGGUAAGCCCUCCGUGAAAUCUCCGGGCCUAACCCGGAAAGUGCAGAGGGGACUGCUCGGCUUGAGGACGGGAGAGGAGCGCGGAAUUCCCGGUGUAGCGGUGAAAUGCGUAGAGAUCGGGAGGAAGGCCGGUGGCGAAGGCGGCGCUCUGGAACGUUUCUGACGCUGAGGCUCGAAAGCGUGGGGAGCAAACAGGAUUAGAUACCCUGGUAGUCCACGCCUUAAACUAUGGAUACUAAGUGUCGGCGGGUUACCCGCCCGGUGCCCGCAGCUAACGCAGUAAGUAUCCCGCCUGGGAAGUACGGCCGCAAGGUUG